rnacentral:rRNA from 1 species
UACGUAGGGUGCAAGCGUUAAUCGGAAUUACUGGGCGUAAAGCGUGCGCAGGCGGUGAUGUAAGACAGUUGUGAAAUCCCCGGGCUCAACCUGGGAACUGCAUCUGUGACUGCAUCGCUGGAGUGCGGCAGACGGGGGAUGGAAUUCCGCGUGUAGCAGUGAAAUGCGUAGAGAGUGCGGAGGAACACCGAUGGCGAAGGCAGCCCCCUGGGCGUAACACUGACGCUCAGGCG